AAAGUGGGAAAAGUUCGCACUGAGCUGCAUUAAAUCCUGCUGGGAAGCUGAAGGCUGAUUAUUAAACAUGAAUUCAAAUACUGAGACCGUUUUGGAUUUUAAUGUUAUAUGUUGUUGUGUUAUCUGUAAUGCUUUUAAGAAAACAUUUUAAAUGAUUUUACUGAGUUAACAUUUGCAAUAUUUUAAAUGUGGCGGUGUGUCUUGGUGCACAUUCAGA